CAUACCUGCAUUGCUGGUCAGCCCGAGGCUUCUGCCACUUCAGAAAAGAAGAAAGUAUUGGAUUGACCACUAAUUGGAAAUCCUACAAGCCCUCGGUGGAUUAAAGAAGAUUAGUGGAGAAAGAAGAGAUCGGACAUUCACUUGCAUUAAUGCAGUGGCUCCAAGUAGCUGGACCGUCCACACUUCAACACGAAAUGAAUUACGUGACCUUCCUCCUUCCUCCCAGCCCUGAGGGCAGUGGCACCAGUGGUUUUUCCCACAGUUAGUGAAGGAAACAGCCACAUACCCCACGCCAAGGGCAUAACUUAAAAAACAAUUAUUGGAGAGCAG